rnacentral:misc_RNA from 1 species
CAAAGAGACGCAUUUAUAUGUGUAGCGCAAGGGGAGUGAGUCCCCCCUAGCUAGCGCCUAGUGUUGUCUAGGGGGGCCGUAUUCGUGGCUCCCGGGCGCGCUAUUCACGCUUGUCAUGUUUGUCAGAUAGUGGUUGGGAUGGAAUGCGAUGAAGAGGGA